AGUGGCGGACGGGUGAGUAACGCGUGAGAAUCUGCCUUCAGGAUGGGGACAACAGUGGGAAACUGCUGCUAAUCCCCAAUAAGCCGAGAGGUGAAAGAAAUUCGCCUGAAGAGGAGCUCGCGUCCGAUUAGCUAGUUGGUGGGGUAAAAGCUUACCAAGGCGACGAUCGGUAGCUGGUCUGAGAGGACGAUCAGCCACCCUGGGACUGAGACACGGCCCAGACUCCUACGGGAGGCAGCAGUGGGGAAUUUUCCGCAAUGGGCGCAAGCCUGACGGAGCCAGACCGCGUGAGGGAAGAAAGCCUUUGGGUUGUAAACCUCUUUUCCCAGGGAAGAAACCUGACGGUACCUGGGGAAUCAGCCUCGGCUAACUCCGUGCCAGCAGCCGCGGUAAUACGGAGGAGGCAAGCGUUAUCCGGAAUCAUUGGGCGUAAAGCGUCCGUAGGGUGCCAUUCAAGUCUGCUGUCAAAGCUCCUGGCUCAACCGGGAAAAGGCAGUGGAAACUAGAUGGCUAGAGGGCGAUAGGGGCAGAGGGAAUUCCCGGUGUAGCGGUGAAAUGCGUAGAGAUCGGGAAGAACACCAGUGGCGAAAGCGCUCUGCUGGGUCGCACCUGACCCUGAGGGACGAAAGCUAGGGGAGCGAAAGGGAUUAGAUACCCCUGUAGUCCUAGCCGUAAACGAUGGAUACUAGGUGUCG
rnacentral:rRNA from 1 species